GUCUUAAUUUUUAGGAAGUAAAGCCAGGUAUCACCAAUCAAUGUCAAAUGAGUGAGGUGGUCCACUUUUUUAUGCUGAAUCGCCUUGCCACCGGCUGAUGGACCCGGCUCGCCGCCAUCGUGAGCCUGUUGGAAGUAUCACGGGACUCUGUGACGGAGCCUUGACCUUUUCCAUUUGAAGGUAUGCCCUGUGACGGCGGCGUCAGACUGGGAGUGCGGCCGGAGCAUGUGGCCCGAGGGCCCUGGCCAUUUUAGGAGAUGCCAACUAAGAGACAACAGCCCGGUGACGGCAGGAACUUCCCAGAUGGCGAGGCGGCCUUCUUUCACACCUGACCUGGAUUCGCAUUCCCGGACCUCCGAGAGAUAAGUGGAGGGCUACGCCUCACAGAGGGGAUGAGAGCGAUGUGCCGGGUCAGGACUCGUCGGAAGGAUUUUUGAAUUAGCUCUGGAGACGGGGAUGUCCAAGAAAUGGCCCCUUUAGGCCACACGAUGGGAAAGUCUCACUUUUGAUCACAAUGCUGAGGCACGUAGGACAGAACAGUCCCGACGCAGAUCGAUUCUAUCUGUGGUGGAGCGCUCCAUACUAGGUGAGGGGGUUCGCACAGGAAGGAGGUAAAGCCGGAUCUCAGCAGUCCAUGUCAAGUGAGCGAGGCGGUCCACUUGCAUUACGCCGAACCCCCUCGCAGAACGGCCGACGGACCCGGCUCGCCGCCCUCGUGACCCCUCCGCAAGUAUCGCAAAGCUCUGCGAUGAAGCCUUGACCUUUUCCACGUGACGGUGCCGUCCGGGUAGCCUUCGGCAACGGCCGAGGAGU